rnacentral:rRNA from 1 species
CACGUAGGGCGCAAGCGUUGUCCGGAAUUAUUGGGCGUAAAGAGCUCGUAGGCGGUUUGUCGCGUCUGCUGUGAAAACCUCAGGCUCAACCUGGGGCUUGCAGUGGGUACGGGCAGACUAGAGUGCGGUAGGGGUGACUGGAAUUCCUGGUGUAGCGGUGGAAUGCGCAGAUAUCAGGAGGAACACCGAUGGCGAAGGCAGGUCACUGGGCCGCAACUGACGCUGGAGGAGCG